GGAGAGCAAGGCUAGUGGAGAAGAAGAAGAAGAAGAAGAAGGAAAGCUUGGAACCAACACCGUCAUCUUCAUCCUCAUCUCAUCUUCAACAACUUCUCCUCUUCAAUUUCUUGAGGUGGUUCUGAGCAGGAUAAGGGUAAGGGCAAGAUAGAGUGAUGUCUUGCUUACCUGAGGACUGGUGGCUUUUCUUCCGCUAUGUAGAUAUUUUUUGAGAUCAUUGUCUAAUGAUCUAGAUCAGUAGUUUUAUUUUGGGCACUCUUAUGUACAUUUAUGCCAUAUUAUGUUAUUUUGGGCAUGUAUUGUAUAUGUAUGAUGUGCUUCUAGGCACUUAUGUAUUUCAGUACCAGUUUUACACUAUGUAUAAUAUGUAUUCUAGACA